ACGAACGCUGGCGGCACGCCUAACACAUGCAAGUCGAGCGCCCCUUUCGGGGGGAGGUGGCGGACGGGUGAGUAACGCGUGGGAACCUGCCCCGUGGUGGGGGACAACCCAGGGAAACCUGGGCUGAUACCGCAUAAGCCCAGUGGCUGUAGUGGCCAUUGGGGAAAGAUUUAUCGCCACGGGAUGGGCCCGCGUCGGAUUAGGUAGUUGGUGGGGUAACGGCCCACCAAGCCUGCGAUCCGUAGCUGGUCNGAGAGGACGAUCAGCCACACUGGGACUGAGACACGGCCCAGACUCCUACGGGAGGCAGCAGUGGGGAAUCUUGGACAAUGGGGGAAACCCUGAUCCAGCGAUGCCGCGUGAGCGAAGAAGGCCUUAGGGUUGUAAAGCUCUUUCGCCCGCGACGAUAAUGACGGUAGCGGGAGAAGAAGCCCCGGCUAACUCCGUGCCAGCAGCCGCCGUAAG
rnacentral:rRNA from 1 species